rnacentral:lncRNA from 1 species
CUGAGGAUCUGCUUAAGUUUUCCUUCAAGAAAGCUGUUGGUGGAACAGUUGAGGAUUAGGCUGCCAAGGUAGGUGUGGCCGAAGGUUGUGUCACCCAGGUAGGGGCGGCUAGUGACAGUGAUGCUCAGGAUAGGGGCAGCUGUAGAUGAGGUUGAUCCUGCUGGGAGCGAUGCGGCUGCUGAAGAUGUCCAAGCUGAUGAGGAGUAGUCUUUUUAGAUAGACUUUAAGAUUUACUUUCUUUUCCUUUCAUGCUUUCCUUUUUUCUUUGCUUGAACUCUGUUUGCCUUCAUGCCAGUUUACCAAUUUGCUAGAAAUUAAUAAACUGUUUUUCUUCGCUUUACUUCAUCCUUAUCUCUUUGUCUUGCUUUAAGCUUCUGUCAUAAAAUGAAUAAUUGAGCAAGCUGCUUUGAACAAAGCAGUCAAGCCCAUCUUUAUUGCUUUAGGUGCCAACUGCAGGUUAUCGGGUGUGAAUCUUCACUUGCUUGAGGCAUCUUUUGAAACUUCUAACUU